UACGGAGGGGGCUAGCGUUGUUCGGAAUUACUGGGCGUAAAGCGCACGUAGGCGGCUUUGCAAGUCAGCGGUGAAAGCCCGGGGCUCAACCCCGGAAUAGCCUUUGAGACUGCAUCGCUUGAACAUCGGAGAGGUAAGUGGAAUUCCGAGUGUAGAGGUGAAAUUCGUAGAUAUUCGGAAGAACACCAGUGGCGAAGGCGACUUACUGGACGAUUGUUGACGCUGAGGUGCGAAAGCGUGGGGAGCAAACAGG
rnacentral:rRNA from 1 species